UCCCAACAGGGUAGGAAAGAGCACAAUUAUCCGCAAAGACUGCAAUUAGCAAUGUCAGCUUUAACCUUUGUUCCUCUGUGAGAGUCCAAGGCACCAUGUCGUCACCUAAGACCUACUGCUCUGUCUAUGACAAAGGUUUUGUCACUCUGUGUGUAAGUCAGGACUUACUCCAUCCCAUGCCUGUGCUCCCAGAGGACUCAUCUCAUUCCAAAACCAGCGGGCAACGACACCGGAAGGAAGGAAAUGGGUCUGUGGUACUGUUGUUGAGCUGUUACCCAAUCAGUCCCUGUUGGACUGCCUCUCAAAGAAUCCACUGCCAGACUGUGAUGAGCGCGCCACUUCUAGAGUUCAUGAGGGAAAUGUGGGGAACAUUCACUCAGAGCUGAGCGGUGGAGCAAAAACUCCAAAAUACAGUGACCGUUUCCAGGUGUAUCACAGAAUUGGUGAAGAAGUGUGUAAGUCAUGGCAGAUCUGACGCUUUCGCGCCUUCCUCAAUGUGGGUAGCCAUUCCAGCUUUGACCUGGAAGUUCCAACCCCCAUUGAGGCUUUGGUAAUGGUCACACCUACAAGACAGGGCUGAGAGAGGAUGCUGAAGACCCAAGAUCCGGAUGCAGGGCCUCUCUUGGUUCCUGGACCCUGGACGCUGGAGGUAGACUGAGCAGAGUUCUCCAGAGAACACCGCUGGACUGCGAGACACCUUUCCCAGACUCUGCAACCUACCUAUCCCUUCACUUGUAAGUUAUGCCACUAAAUAAACCUCCCUUUUAACUA